ACAACUCUAACGGUGGAUCUCUUGG
rnacentral:rRNA from 1 species